rnacentral:rRNA from 1 species
AAUUCCGUCCUCCUAGUAAAGCCCUGUGAGCUCCACGGGGAACGGUCUCGUAAAAACUUUAGGGCGCAAAACCAUCUGCCUUUUUAUUGGAAGCUUGGGAGAAAGGACCUGACGAAGCUUAACUGUCUCUAUUUAUCAAACCACGGAAUUGAUUUUCAAGAGAAAAGCCUUCAUUCUACCGGGGGACCAGAAGACCCUAUACAGUUUGAAGUGUAUUUAACCAGUAAAAAUUAAUAAUUAUUUCAUAAACUGGGGGGCAAGCCAAAGCACUUUUAUUGGGGCAUUAUGAGAACAGGAACAACCUUUAGCUAAGUAAAUUUAAAAAUAUCAACUCACUGAUCCUCAAAGAGAAUUUAAUAAAACUGCCUUAGGAUAACAGCGUUGUUCUACCUGAGAGAGCUAAUCGAUUGGAAGAGUUUGCGACCUCGAUGUUGGACUAAGUCAGCUUUAAAGUGCAGACUGCUUUAGGAAGCCUGUUCGGGCCUUUAAUAACUUACAUGGAUCUGAGUUUCAAGACCGGAUAGCUCUGGUUNUGAAUA